GAAAUUUACAAUGCGGGAAACCGUGAUAAGGGGACACCGAGUGCCAGCAUCAUAUGCUGCUGUCCAGAUGUGUAAACUACAUCUGUUAGCAAGGGCCGGGCAAGACCGGUGCCAGCCGCCGCGGUAACACCGGCGGCCCGAGUGGUGAUCGUGAUUAUUGGGUCUAAAGGGUCCGUAGCCGGUUUGGUCAGUCCUCCGGGAAAUCUGAUAGCUCAACUAUUAGGCUUUCGGGGGAUACUGCCAGACUUGGAGCCGGGAGAGGUAAGAGGUACUACAGGGGUAGGAGUGAAAUCUUGUAAUCCCUGUGGGACCACCUGUGGCGAAGGCGUCUUACCAGAACGGGUUCGACGGUGAGGGACGAAAGCUGGGGGCACGAACCGGAUUAGAUACCCGGGUAGUCCCAGCCGUAAACGAUGCUCGCUAGGUGUCAGGCAUGGCGCGACCGUGUCUGGUGCCGCAGGGAAGCCGUGAAGCGAGCCACCUGGGAAGUACGGCCGCAAGGCUGAAACUUAAAGGAAUUGGCGGGGGAGCACAACAACGGGUGGAGCCUGCGGUUU
rnacentral:rRNA from 1 species